rnacentral:rRNA from 1 species
AACGAACGCUGGCGGCAUGCUUAACACAUGCAAGUCGAACGGAAAGGCCCUGCUUUUGUGGGGUGCUCGGGGGGCGACCUGGUGAGUAACACGUGAGUAACCUGCCCUUGACUGUGGGAUAACUUCAGGAAACUGGAGCUAAUACCGGCUAGGAGCUCCUGCUGCAUGGUGGGGGUUGGAUAGUUUCGGCGGUUGGGGAUGGACUCGCGGCGUAUCGGCUUGUUGGUGGGGUAGUGGCUUACCAAGGCUUUGACGGGUAGCCGGCCUGAGAGGGUGACCGGCCACAUUGGGACUGGGAUACGGCACAGCCUACUAUGGUAGGGAGCAGAGGGGAAGAUUGCACAAUGGGAGGAAGCAUGAUGCAGCAACGCCGUGCGCGGUAUGACGGCCUUCGGGUUGUAAACCGCUUUCGCCUGUGACGAAGCGUGAGUGACGGUAAUGGGUAAAGAAGCACCGGCUAACUACGUG